AAGAAGGGCGCGUGUGGACAUCGACCGUGAGUUGUGGAACUCACGGUCAACCGCAUAUUCAGCAUUGCGGCUGUUGGGCCUUGACCCUCUCCUAAAAAGGCUUUCUCUUCCUCUUUUACUUCUUUUUUUGGUAUUACAGGUCGCCAUGGGCGCCAUCCCUAGUGGCGGUGGAAUUAACAUCGAGGGUGCCACUGUUGGUUUUGUCGCCGUGCUGCUGAUGGCGGUCAAGCGGGCGUCGGCGACGACCCAUCACCGUUGAAGAACGUUGAUGCACCUUCGAGUAGAGAUUUCGUCAAGUUCCACUAGAGGCAACUCACGAGUUCUGUCUCUGUUUUUGUUAUUUUCGUCGAGUUCCCCAAGAUGCCCAAGUCAACAAGUUCUGUUCUGUGUUCUCGCCUUUCCAGCGAGAUGCCUCUGUCUGUUCUUGGCGACAUGACUAAUUGCUCCUUGGAGAGCAAAGUGCAUGAUAACGUGUUGUGAGUGAAAAUUGAGAGAGUAUGAAUGUGAAUGGUUGUUUUUGUUUCCA